rnacentral:rRNA from 1 species
AUGUCCAGGAGCCUGAAGAGAUUUAGGUGUGCCCGAAAGGGAGCUGGAACGCAGGUGCUGCAUGGCUGUCGUCAGCUCGUGUCGUGAGAUGUUGGGUUAAGUCCCGCAACGAGCGCAACCCUUGUCGUUAAUUGCCAUCAUUCAGUUGGGCACUUUAACGAGACUGCCGGUGACAAACCGGAGGAAGGUGGGGAUGACGUCAAGUCCUCAUGGCCCUUAUGGGUAGGGCUUCACACGUCAUACAAUGGUCGGUACAGAGGGUUGCCAAGCCGCGAGGUGGAGCCAAUCCCAGAAAGCCGAUCGUAGUCCGGAUCGUAGGCUGCAACUCGCCUGCGUGAAGUCGGAAUCGCUAGUAAUCGCGGAUCAGCAUGUCGCGGUGAAUACGUUCCCGGGUCUUGUACACACCGCCCGUCACACCAUGGGAGCGGGUUCCGCCAGAAGUAGGUAGCCUAACCGCAAGGAGGGCGCUUACCACGGCGGGGUUCGUGACUGGGGUGAAGUCGUAACAAGGUAGCCGU